rnacentral:misc_RNA from 1 species
GUCCCCUGCUUCUACUACUACUACUCUCUCCAUUAUUUCUAACACUAACAGUACUACUGUUGUCGAGAGUAGAGUAAUUCCGCAGCAGCUUCAACCGAUUCUUCCAAUUAGACGCAGAUAAUUUGAUGGAGGUUGAUGUUUCUUCAUUGAGAUCUUCAACCUUAAACUCUUCUUCUUCUUCUGAAUCUAAUUCUCCGGAUCUUCGUUUUCCUCUAUCCAUGGAUCAGUUACAACUUUAUUUAAUGGAUACGAACCGCUGGACAAGAUGAGGUGGUUUCAGAAUAAAUAGCAUUGGACGAGGAAUAUAAUCUUUUUAUGUCUACUCCAGAAUCAAAUGAAAUUUAAAGAGAUAAGCACAGAAUUUAUGCUGCAUUAUUGGGUUAAUUACAGUGUGAAGUUUUAUUCUGGCUAAUUUCUAAAGUAUUUAAUUUAAAAUCAUAAAGUUUCUUUUUU